CAAUGCGCAUCACUAAUCAAAAUCAGUUGUAUACCAGCACUGUUAAUGGUAAAUUCUUCGCUAAUUAAGGAGUCGUGACCUAAAACUGUUAAGAGGGUUGUAGCAGUUUGCUCCGCUUUUUGUUGAACUGCUGCAAUAUUGCUGGCAUUCAAAAUUUGCUGACCGUAAUCGCCAGAAUUCAUGUUUUCGCUAAUAGAAGAUGAUUUGUCUUUGUAACUGGAAAUGACAGAAACACUGGCUUGAGCUAUGCUUUGAAGCAAAAGCAAGUCAUAAACAGAUAUACGGAACAACAAUCUGUCCAAAUCCAAUGUAGCACUAAAAGACUUGUUUUCAGAACAAUCUUGUACUAACCCAAAGCCAAUGUCAAAGUCGUCAAGGAUUUGAAUGCCGUCAUCCAAUUUAUCCAUUCUCGUAACAAACAUA